GUCCAGUGAUGACAGAAAUAUUUGCUAGCAGAAUAUUUCAUGUUGAUUCCCCACCAAGAUCUCUGAGGAC